rnacentral:rRNA from 1 species
UACGGAGGGUGCGAGCGUUGUCCGGAAUCAUUGGGCGUAAAGGGCGCGUAGGUGGCCCAGUAAGCGUGCAGUGAAAGCUCGGGGCUCAACCCCGAGUCGGCCGUGCGAACUACUGGGCUGGAGCACUGUAGAGGCAGGCGGAAUUCCGGGUGUAGCGGUGGAAUGCGUAGAGAUCCGGAAGAACACCGGUGGCGAAGGCGGCCUGCUGGGCAGUUGCUGACACUGAGGCGCGACAGCGUGGGGAGCAAACAGG